rnacentral:tRNA from 1 species
GCCCCGGUGGUGAAAUUGGUAGACACAUCGGACUUAAAAUCCGCCGCCUAUUAAAACGGCGUGCCGGUUCGAUCCCGGCCCGGGGCACCA